UACGUAGGGGGCAAGCGUUGUCCGGAUUUACUGGGCGUAAAGAGCGUGUAGGCGGCCACGCAGGUCCGUUGUGAAAACUGGAGGCUCAACCUCCAGCUGUCGACGGAAACCGUGUGGCUAGAGUCCGGAAGAGGAGAGUGGAAUUCCUGGUGUAGCGGUGAAAUGCGCAGAUAUCAGGAGGAAUACCGGUGGUGUAGACGGCUCUCUGGACCGCCACUGACGCUGAGACACGAAAGCGUGGGUAGCAAACAGG
rnacentral:rRNA from 1 species